GAUGAAGAACGUAGCGAAAUGCGAUAAGUAAUGUGAAUUGCAGAAUUCAGUGAAUCAUCGAAUCUUUGAACGCACAUUGCGCCCGCCAGUAUUCUGGCGGGCAUGUCUGUUCGAGCGUCAUUUCAACCGUCAGGCCCCCAGUGCCUGGUGUUGGGGAUCGGCAGCAGGGCGUCAAGCCCGCCGGCCCCGAAAUCUAGUGGCGGUCUCGCUGUAGUCCUCCUCUGCGUAGUAGCACAACCUCGCAGUUGGAACGCGGCGGUGGCCAUGCCGUUAAACACCCCACUUCUGAAAGUUGACCUCGGAUCAGGUAGGAAUACCCGCUGAACUUAAGCAUAUCAAUAAGCGGAGGA
rnacentral:misc_RNA from 1 species